UUAAUUAACCCUAUUUUUUUAACAAACUAUUUAUUCUUAGUAAAAGAUAAUCAACUGCUUGGAAAUAAUGACUAUUUUAAUAUAACUUUAUUUAUUAAUUUAUUUGAAGUAAAAGAUAAACAAAAGUAUUUAUUUUUUUUUUUUUUUUUAUUCUAUUUUAUAUUAACAGAUAAUAAAAAAAAAUCUAUUAAAUUAUAUUAUAAAAUAUUAUUAGACUUGUAUAACGAUUUUUGUAACAUAUUACCAAAUAAUAAUGCAAACGGUAGUUAUUCAACAGAUGGUGGGAAGGUUCAAAAUCAACAAAAUUGUGAGGAAGUACCAAACGAAUUAAAUGAAGAGAGACAAAAAUGUGGAUAUACAUACAACACUAAUUGUGUUUAUGAUGAAUCUUCUAAAGAUGAAAUAGGAAACUUUUUUUGUAGUAUACACAAUUGUGUUUUUUUUUUACGUUCAAGUAUUUUAUUCUUACCCUUAACUAUAAUACUGAAACAAAAUAAUAUUAAGACUUCAGAUGAGUAUUUUGUUAGUAAGAAAAAAUGUGCAUAUUUUUUUGACAUAUAUGAAAGUAGUAAUUGUAGUAUUGAUAGUACUGAACAAGUAAAUCCCAAUGGCGAUCUAACCGAUGCUGAUCUAACAGUUGGAAAGAGUAAUAGUGGUAAAAAUACGAUUACUAAAAAAAAUAAUAUUAAAAAUAAAAACACUAAAAAUGCUAGCGUUAAAAAUACGGACACUAAAACUAUUAGUGACAAACACGUGAACAAAAAGCACACAAACGAUAGGUGCAUAAACGACAACCGCUCAAAUGGAAGCUCGAAUAACCGCUGGAACGACGAUAAGUACGAAGAACUACAAAAACAACUGAUCACUGAAGCCUUUGAUGAUGAUAUUGUAAUUUUAGUGUUCUCUAAUUUUGUUAAAAAGGCAAAUAAUAAAACCAAAAUAGUACAUUGCUGGUUUGAUUUUUUAUUAAUAUCGUUGCAGAAUAUAUCGAACACGUUAAAUGAUGGGCUAAAUGAAUUAUAUACAUGUAGUAAAAAUAGUAAUGAUAACAAAAGCAAGAACAAUAAAGACAACAAUAAUAAACAAUGUAACUACCUUUUCCAAAAUGGAUGUUUACACAUAAAAAAAGAGAAUAACAAUAUUCUUUCCCAAACCAAUUAUC
rnacentral:lncRNA from 1 species